rnacentral:rRNA from 1 species
AUAUACGACUCUCGGCAACGGAUAUCUCGGCUCACGCAUCGAUGAAGAACGUAGCAAAAUGCGAUACUUGGUGUGAAUUGCACAAUCCCGUGAACCAUCGAGUUUUUGAACGCAAGUUGCGCCCGAAGCCAUUCGCCCGAGGGCACGUCUGCCUGGGCGUCACG